UUGAGCAUGACGUCAUCGUCCUGUCGGGCGUCCUCACAAAUUACCUGCAUUCAGAGAUGCGUAUCGGCACAGGCCGGUAUGCGAAAGUCCCAUCAUGGGGCCUUAGCUCAGCUGGGAGAGCACCUGCUUUGCAAGCAGGGGGUCGUCGGUUCGAUCCCGACAGGCUCCACCAUUUGAGUGAAACGACUUUGGGUCUGUAGCUCAGGUGGUUAGAGCGCACCCCUGAUAAGGGUGAGGUCGGUGGUUCGAGUCCUCCCAGACCCACCACUCUGAAUGUAGUGCACACUUAAGAAUUUAUAUGGAUCAGCGUUGAGGCUGAGACAUGUUCUUUUAUAACUUGUGACGUAGCGAGCGUUUGAGAUAUCUAUCUAAACGUGCCGUUGAGGCUAAGGCGGGGACUUCGAGUCCCUAAAUAAUUGA
rnacentral:tRNA from 1 species